GGACCCUCCUGCCUCUGCUUCCUGAGUACUGCCCCUGAAGGCAGGCACUACCCCCACCUAGCUUUAGUUUUUAAACUGGUGUCUGGAUGCAUGUGCCUGUGUGUCUGUGUGUGUGUGUGUGUGCCGUGAGCGUGUGUGUGUGUUCUUGAAGUCCAGAGAGUGAACUCUGGAAGAUCAGCAAAUACUUUCAACCACAGCGCCAUCUCUCAAGCCCCCGCUUUGGUUUACACUGUGCGUUCAUAGGGAGGUCAGAGGACAGCUUGUAGGAAUCAGUUCUUGACUUCCCCCAUAUGGGUUCCCGGGAACACACUCAGGUUGUCACUCGUGCCCAUUUCACCAGCGCCAUCUUGUUUGGGGGGCCAGUGUUUCAGAUAAGCUAAUGAACCCACGAGCUUCCAGGACAGUUUUCCUGUCUCCACCUUCUACAUCACCUUAGGAGUGCCAGAGUUACAGAUGUGAGCCACCUGUCUGGCUUGUUGUGGAUUUCAGGGUUCAGACUCAGGUUGCCAGGCGUGAAUGGCAAGCGCCCUUGUCCUCCUCACGGUCCCCGCCCCGUAGCCGCUUGUAGCAGAAAGUAUUUUACUGCAAUGGUUCUUUGCAAAUUCCUGACCACUACCUCUCGCCUUCUUCACAGAUUUCCUCUCCUUUCCUUCAUCGGCCAGGCAGAACUCCACUUUCUAUCCUGAACCCCCUUCUUGUCUGUCUCUCCUUCCCAUUUGGCAAGGCAGAUCUUCUACAGUGGAGCCACUCCCAUCAAUGGUUUUUUGAGACAAGACCUUGUGUAGCCCGGGUUGGCUUCAAACUGUCUGUACAGCCCAGGCUGGCUGAGAAUUCCUCAUCCCGGUAUGACAGAUGUGAGCCACCACACCCAGCCUUCCCAGGAUUCGGAAUCCUCUUCCCCAAAGUGGAGAUCAGAGGCAAGGUCUGGGAGGCAAGACCGAAGUUUGAGGUAGACGAGCAGGCGAGCCGUUUGCCCGGGCGCAGAGCAUGAAGGCCGGGCGGGCGCGGGGAGCGGGCGCCCGCCGCCCGGCGCGGGGGUGAGCGAGAGAGAGAGCGGAGCGCGUGUGGCCGGCGCCGCUCGGCCUGGAGCUCCCGC
rnacentral:lncRNA from 1 species